rnacentral:rRNA from 1 species
GACGAACCGUGCGAACGUUGUUCGGAUUCACUGGGCUUAAAGGGCGCGUAGGCGGACUCGCAAGUCUGUGGUGAAAGCCCCCAGCUCAACUGGGGAAGUGCCGUGGAUACUGCAAGUCUGGAGGAGGGUAGGGGCAUCUGGAACGCUGGGUGGAGCGGUGAAAUGCGUUGAUAUCCAGCGGAACUCCGGUGGCGAAGGCGAGGUGCUGGACCCUUUCUGACGCUGAGGCGCGAAACCCAGGGGAGCAAACGGG